rnacentral:rRNA from 1 species
UCGGGAAUUUUGGGCAAUGGGCGAAAGCCUGACCCAGCAACGCCGCGUGAAGGAUGAAGUAUUUCGGUAUGUAAACUUCGUAAGAAUAGGAAGAAUAAAUGACGGUACUAUUUGUAAGGUCCGGCUAACUACGUGCCAGCAGCCGCGGUAAUACGUAGGGACCAAGCGUUGUUCGGAUUUACUGGGCGUAAAGGGCGCGUAGGCGGUGUGUCAAGUCAGUUGUGAAAUCUCCGAGCUUAACUCGGAACGGUCAACUGAUACUGUCACACUAGAGUACAGAAGGGGCAAUCGGAAUUCUUGGUGUAGCGGUGAAAUGCGUAGAUAUCAAGAGGAACACCUGAGGCGAAGGCGGGUUGCUGGGCUGAUACUGACGCUGAGGCGCGAAAGCUAGGGUAGCAAACGGGGAUUAGAUACCCACGUAGUCC